AUUGAACGCUGGCGGCAUGCUUUACACAUGCAAGUCGAACGGCAGCGCGGGCUUCGGCCUGGCGGCGAGUGGCGGACGGGUGAGUAAUGCAUCGGAACGUGCCCAGUAGUGGGGGAUAGCGCGGCGAAAGCCGGAUUAAUACCGCAUACGACCUGAGGGUGAAAGCGGGGGACCGAAAGGCCUCGCGCUAUUGGAGCGGCCGAUGUCGGAUUAGCUAGUUGGUGGGGUAAAGGCUUACCAAGGCGACGAUCCGUAGCUGGUCUGAGAGGACGACCAGCCACACUGGGACUGAGACACGGCCCAGACUCCUACGGGAGGCAGCAGUGGGGAAUUUUGGACAAUGGGGGCAACCCUGAUCCAGCCAUGCCGCGUGCGGGAAGAAGGCCUUCGGGUUGUAAACCGCUUUUGUUCGGGAAGAAAUCCUCUGGGCUAAUACCCCGGGGGGAUGACGGUACCGGAAGAAUAAGCGCCGGCUAACUACGUG
rnacentral:rRNA from 1 species